AGUGUGAUUCUGGCCAUUUUGCAUCUAUCCCAUGGAAGCAUUCCACAUCUGACUUAUUUCCUCUGGAUAUUUAAUGGAGUAUUGAUCUGCAAAAUUAAAUAAGGACAUUGGCACUUUGGCAGAGGUGUUUAGGUAAUUGAAUGACAAAGACUGUUGAGCUAACUGAUGAAGGAUGAAGAGAAUUUGCAAAGACAGAAAUGAAAAAUUAGAGUCUAUGGUAUGUUUGGUACACUGGAAUUAGACGAUAUUAAUCAAUUUUCUUAGUAAAUUGGUAUUACAAUAACUUCUUGCUGGUGAUUCCACUUUUAUUAUAAGGACGAAAUUCUCAUUUGCAGUUUACACUCAUUCCUGUUGUCUAAUUUGUUGGAUCUAUUUCUCUACAGAUUAGUGGUGUUUUCCCUUUGCAGUUGGCUCAUUUUCUUGUACUAAAUGGAUCAACAAAGAUGGGAGUUGAACAAUGACUGCUUGGUGAAUUGCUCGAAAAACUUGGAAUGUAAUCGCUACUCUUUGGUGUCUCAUUUGUGUGCAAGUCCUGGCACAAAGCAAGCCUCAACUCUUCAUGCUGGCAAUGCCUCAUUUUCCCAGACUUUGAACCUUGUCUUUUCAGUGUUGACGCUGAACAUUAGCCCAAGGGUUUUGGUCCCUUUUACGAUAGGUGUCCUGGCCUUAAGUCUUUGUGUUUGCCAGAUGAUUUAGUUCUUUUCAAGCAUUCUCGGAUGAUUCCAGAAUUAAUUGGAAAGUGGAAAAAUUUGGAGUCCUUGUCAUUGGGAAGAAACUUGCAGAAAGUUAUUGACCAGAUGCAUUAUGAGAACAUGUCCUUGAAUUAAAGUUUUGAAGCAUUGUUGGCAUCUGAUACGAACAGCUGGCUUAGCACUGUGGAUGAAAUUCUAAUGCAGAUCGACCGUCACUGCAAGAAUUUGAUCCAUUACAAAUUUUUCAUGCCUUCAUUGGUAAAGUUGAGACACUGAUAAUCGUGAACUUGUUUCCAAACCUGAAGUACUCGAGCUUCAGAAAGUCUUACAUUUACUGGGAUAAACUUGUUACAUUUCUGCGCGGCUGCAAAGAGCUUGUCGAGUUGGAUCUGAGGGAUUGCAAAGGUUUCGAAGAGGGUGAUGAGUUGAUAUCAACACUUGCUUCUGCUAAGAUUAGUAAGUUCUUGUGUCAGGGUUCCAUUGGCUAUUCUCCAUUUGGUUUUUACUUGUAUAAUCUCUGUAGGGCGUCUAUUUUGUCAUUUGGUCGAGGCAGGGGAUGGUUUGGUGCAAAUUGGGUUGAUGAGGGAAGAGACGAGGAUGGUGGUUUUCAUUUUGAUCCAUGAUUCAGUUCUAUGAGCCUAUGAUAAAAUGUUCAAGCAUAAUAAAAAGCUGAUCUCUCGAGUUGCUUAUGAACACAACUUUAUGAGGCUGCCAGUGGUUGAUGAUGCCAGGUCUGUGGUUUUGAUCAUGUCCCAUCAUUAUUCUGAUGCAGCUGUUAUGCUCACAAGUCCAGUCUUUGUUCCAUUAAUUCUCAGAUUAUGUACUGCUAAAACUAGAAUACAGUGGACUGUGAAAUGGCGACUGCUCAAAAGUUGUUGUAUCUUGCAAUGGAAGGUCUCUUCUUUGCUCACAGAUUCGAG